UUCCGGUUGAUCCUGCCGGACCUGACUGCUAUCGGAUUGAUACUAAGCCAUGCGAGUCAUUGUAGCAAUACAAGGCAUACGGCUCAGUAACGCGUAGUCUACCUAACCUAUGGACGGGAAUAACCUCGGGAAACUGAGAAUAAUGCCCGAUAGAACAUUAUGCCUGGAAUGGUUUAUGUUCCAAAUGAUUUAUCGCCGUAGGAUGGGACUGCGGCCUAUCAGUUUGUUGGUGAGGUAAUGGCCCACCAAGACUAUUACAGGUACGGGCUCUGAGAGGAGUAGCCCGGAGAUGGGUACUGAGACACGGACCCAGGCCCUAUGGGGCGCAGCAGGCGAGAAAACUUUGCAAUGUGCGAAAGCACGACAAG
rnacentral:rRNA from 1 species